GGCCGCCGCGGCGGGGCGGGCCCCCGGGCCGGCGGUCCGGGCGGCGGCCCCGGCCGCUCCGCCCGUCCCGGCCGGACCGGCCGCCG
rnacentral:tRNA from 1 species